rnacentral:rRNA from 1 species
AUUGAACGCUGGCGGCAGGCCUAACACAUGCAAGUCGAGCGGAUGAAGGGAGCUUGCUCCUGGAUUCAGCGGCGGACGGGUGAGUAAUGCCUAGGAAUCUGCCUGGUAGUGGGGGAUAACGUCCGGAAACGGGCGCUAAUACCGCAUACGUCCUGAGGGAGAAAGUGGGGGAUCUUCGGACCUCACGCCAUCAGAUGAGCCUAGGUCGGAUUAGCUAGUUGGUGGGGUAAAGGCCUACCAAGGCGACGAUCCGUAACUGGUCAGAGAGGAUGAUCAGUCACACUGGAACUGAGACACGGUCCAGACUCCUACGGGAGGCAGCAGAGGGGAAUAUUGGACAAUGGGCGAAAGCCUGAUCCAGCCAUGCCGCGUGUGUGAAGAAGGUCUUCGGAUUGAAAAGCACUUUAAGUUGGGAGGAAGGGCAGUAAGUUAAUACCUUGCUGUUUUGACGUUACCAACAGAAUAAGCACCGGCUAACUUCGUG